AGUUUUCGGACUAAGAGACCGGCGCACGGGUGCGUAACGCGUAUGCAAUCUACCUUUUACAGAGGGAUAGCCCAGAGAAAUUUGGAUUAAUACCUCAUAGUAUAAUGACUCGGCAUCGAGAUAUUAUUAAAGUCACAACGGUAAAAGAUGAGCAUGCGUCCCAUUAGCUAGUUGGUAAGGUAACGGCUUACCAAGGCUACGAUGGGUAGGGGUCCUGAGAGGGAGAUCCCCCACACUGGUACUGAGACACGGACCAGACUCCUACGGGAGGCAGCAGUGAGGAAUAUUGGACAAUGGGCGCAAGCCUGAUCCAGCCAUGCCGCGUGCAGGAUGACGGUCCUAUGGAUUGUAAACUGCUUUUAUACGAGAAGAAACACUGCUUCGCGAAGCAGCUUGACGGUAUCGUAAGAAUAAGGAUCGGCUAACUCCGUGCCAGCAGCCGCGGUAAUACGGAGGAUCCAAGCGUUAUCCGGAAUCAUUGGGUUUAAAGGGUCCGUAGGCGGUUUAAUAAGUCAGUGGUGAAAGCCCAUCGCUCAACGGUGGAACGGCCAUUGAUACUGUUAAACUUGAAUUAUUAGGAAGUAACUAGAAUAUGUAGUGUAGCGGUGAAAUGCUUAGAGAUUACAUGGAAUACCAAUUGCGAAGGCAGGUUACUACUAAUGGAUUGACGCUGAUGGGCGAAAGCGUGGGUAGCGAACAGGAUUAGAUACCCUGGUAGUCCACGCCGUAAACGAUGGAUACUAGCUGUUGGAAGCAAUUUCAGUGGCUAAGCGAAAGUGAUAAGUAUCCCACCUGGGGAGUACGUU
rnacentral:rRNA from 1 species